AACGAACGCUGGCGGCAUGCCUAACACGUGCAAGUCGAACGAUUGCCUUCGGGUGAUAGUGGCGCACGGGUGCGUAACGCGUGGGAAUCUGCCCUUAGGUUCGGAAUAACAGCUGGAAACGGCUGCUAAUACCGGAUGAUAUCGCAAGAUCAAAGAUUUAUCGCCUGAGGAUGAGCCCGCGUUGGAUUAGGUAGUUGGUGGGGUAAAGGCCUACCAAGCCGACGAUCCAUAGCUGGUCUGAGAGGAUGAUCAGCCACACUGGGACUGAGACACGGCCCAGACUCCUACGGGAGGCAGCAGUGGGGAAUAUUGGACAAUGGGCGCAAGCCUGAUCCAGCAAUGCCGCGUGAGUGAUGAAGGCCCUAGGGUUGUAAAGCUCUUUUACCCGGGAAGAUAAUGACUGUACCGGGAGAAUAAGCCCCGGCUAACUCCGUG
rnacentral:rRNA from 1 species